CUGUAAGAAACAAAGAGUCUUGAGACUGCGUUUAGGCGUGUGCUCGACUCCUACUCUUUCAUUCACAUACACCUUUGUGCACGAUGGGAGAGAUAAUUCUCCCCACAUAUAUACACACACCUAGUUAUAUGCAUGUCUUAUGCUCUACGGAGUGAUGAAAUGUAA
rnacentral:misc_RNA from 1 species